AGUGAACGUUGGCGGCGUGGAUUAGGCAUGCAAGUCGAGCGAGAACCGUAGCAAUACGGGGACAGCGGCGAAAGGGACAGUAAUGUGUAGGUACCUACCCCGAGGUCUGGGAUAGCUGCGGGAAACUGCAGGUAAUACCGGAUAAUGUCUUCGGACCAAAGGUGUGAUUCCACCUUGGGAGGGGCCUGCAUCCGAUUAGCUUGUCGGCGGGGUAACGGCCCACCAAGGCGACGAUGGGUAGCGGGUGUGAGAGCACGACCCGCGUCAUUGGGACUGAGACACUGCCCAGACACCUACGGGUGGCUGCAGUCGAGGAUCUUCGGCAAUGGGCGCAAGCCUGACCGAGCGACGCCGCGUGCGGGAUGAAGGCCUUCGGGUUGUAAACCGCUGUCGUAGAGGAGGAAAUGCAGGGGGGUUCUCCCUUCUGUUUGACCUAUUCUAGGAGGAAGGACGGGCUAAGUUCGUGCCAGCCGCCGCAGUAA
rnacentral:rRNA from 1 species